UGCGCGCCAAACUGCGCCGCGACCGCUGCACGUGUUCCACUGUGCAGGCCACCGCGACCGAUCCAACUAGUAUACUGUGUUUGCAUUCAGCCGCUCCGUGUGAAUUUCUGUGCCUUUCAAGGUUGCUGACGCUGAAUGAGAGCUCAACAGCGUCACCCAGCGCAAGCCUCCGAGCAACACAACCGCACAACGUCAAAGGGCCGCCCACUACGAGAAGAAGGCGUGAGAUGCCGUGACGCCCACUCCCCGUCACGUGCGGCGACGGCGAGGACGCAGCUCUGGUCUCUGCAGAUGCAGAAGAGC